UGGGGUAUGGCUCAGGUGGUAGAGUACUUGCCUGACAAGUAUAAGGCCCUGAGUUCAAAACCCUAGUACCCUCA
rnacentral:tRNA from 1 species